rnacentral:tRNA from 1 species
GAGAACCUAGUAAAUAUAUUACAUGGCUUUGUCAUAGCCAAAUAACAGCACCCUGUGGUUCUCA